rnacentral:rRNA from 1 species
UACGUAGGGUGCGAGCGUUAAUCGGAAUUACUGGGCGUAAAGCGUGCGUAGGCGGUUCGUUAAGUUCGUUGUGAAAGCCCCGGGCUCAACCUGGGAAUGGCAUUGGAAACUGGCGGACUCGAGUGUGGCAGAGGGGGGUGGAAUUCCGCGUGUAGCAGUGAAAUUCGUAGAUAUUGGGAAGAACACCGGUGGCGAAGGCGGCGCUCUGGACCGAGACUGACGCUGAGGCGCGAAAGCGUGGGGAGCAAACAGG